AGCUUUUCGAAUCUGUGCUGAGAUUUCGUCAGAUACCAACCCAUUUGGGAUAAUCAGACUUCCAAGAUAAGUCAAGUU
rfam:Schistosoma haematobium scaffold260_15, whole genome shotgun sequence.